rnacentral:rRNA from 1 species
CAAUAGCGUAUAUUAAAGUUGUUGCAGUUAAAAAGCUCGUAGUUGAAUUUUUGCUUGCCGCCGAUGUCGGAACUUCCGUACGUUCGGCGGCGUGCAUCCUUGGGUGGAACCUGUGUGGCAUUAGGUUGUCGUGCAGGGGAUGCUCAUCGUUUACUGUGAAAAAAUUAGAGUGUUCAAAGCAGGCUUACGCCGUUGAAUAUAUUAGCAUGGAAUAAUAAGAUAGGACCUUGGUACUAUUUUGUUGGUUUGCGCACCGAGGUAAUGAUUAACAGGGACAGUUGGGGGUAUUCGUAUUCCAUUGUCAGAGGUGAAAUUCUUAGAUUUCUGGAAGACGAACUACUGCGAAAGCAUUUACCAAGGAUGUUUUCAUUAA